AUUGAACGCUGGCGGCAGGCCUAACACAUGCAAGUCGAGCGGUAACAUUUCUAGCUUGCUAGAAGAUGACGAGCGGCGGACGGGUGAGUAACGCGUAGAAAUCUACCUAGUAUGGGGGGAUAGCCCAGAGAAAUUUGGAUUAAUACCGCAUACGCCCUACGGGGGAAAGCGGGGGAUCUUCGGACCUCGUGCUAUUAGAUGAGUCUGCGUCGGAUUAGCUUGUUGGUGAGGUAAUGGCUCACCAAGGCGACGAUCCGUAGCUGGUCUGAGAGGAUGACCAGCCACACUGGAACUGAGACACGGUCCAGACUCCUACGGGAGGCAGCAGUGGGGAAUCUUAGACAAUGGGGGCAACCCUGAUCUAGCCAUGCCGCGUGAGUGAUGAAGGCCUUAGGGUUGUAAAGCUCUUUCAGUAGGGAAGAAUGGCGUAUGCUUAAUACGUAUACGAGGUGACGUUACCUACAGAAGAAGCACCGGCUAACUCUGUG
rnacentral:rRNA from 1 species